CAGAAAAUAGUUUAAAUAAAAUUUUAAUUUUGGAGAUUAAUGUUGGGGCCUUCCUUUUUCUGA
rnacentral:tRNA from 1 species